GCAUGAUACAAAUACAUCAAAAAUGUAAUGUACAGUCUGCGCGCUCUACUCUUAACCCCGAGAGGCAAGCGGCGAUACUUUCUCUCGCUAAACUGUUUGCGGGUAGUUUUCCCGCGCCCUGCGCCGUAACGUCCUGUUUGUUUUGGCCUAACUUCGCUACUUUUACCAUGUUUAUCGCAUUUCGACUUUGUGCUGCUAAGUGAUUGUAUUGAGAGUGAAAUUUUCUGUAAAUUGAUUUUAUAAAAUUGAUAAUUAACUUUGUCAUAAAUGUGACUAAACCAUCAUGUUGAUAAAAUUAUAAUAAAUGAACUGCUCAGUAAAAUGUGUGAUUUUUAAAACUGUCAAAAAUUCUUGAUAAAUGUAAAAUAAUUGAUGCGAAUACUAAAUUAUCAACACAACAUAAAAUAUUCGUAGAAACUCAAAACACAGUUACGAGAGCUUAAUUAUAAAUUUAUGGAUUUAGUUCGGAUUUAACGCAAUUUCAAUGCCCAAACACAAAUAACAAUCCAGCAACAAUUCUAACGUUCGUCAAUAAAACUUGAAACAAUCGAAUCUGGCAUUAAUUUAAUUAUUAAUUGUACCACAACAGACGAGACAAAGGAGCGUCAUCUACGUCGACGCUCGCAUUCAAUUAACGAGAGACAACCCUAGAACAAUAGCUAAUAAAACUUUUGUACAAAAAUCUAUCGGUAUGUUUUCCGUACUGGCGUUUGAGGAGUAAAACUUUUGUCUUCAUUUAAUCUGGGGCGCCCGGCUGUGUUCGCGGGCAUUCGCGCCGCGGCCGUCUACGCGAGCGGUCUACGAGGCCCUCGCCGCGCUACGCCGUAGUCAACCGCCGUGCUACGAUCGUGAAACUUUGUGGAUUGUUUGUGAGUGAAAUGUUGGUGUUUGCUGUUUGAAUCCCGAGUUUGUGCACAACGCGGGCGCCGCCGGCCAUGACGCGCGCGGCGUUGUUCACCGUACUGCUCGCUGUUUCUGCUGCGCCCGCAUGGAGCCAGCUGAUGUUCCUGAUGGAGCCGCCAGCACGCUUGGCGUUCUCCAACAGUACCGGCGCCCGGGUGGCCUGUGCAGCGCACGGCACGCCCCCGCCUGUCAUGUCCUGGUUAGGAGAGGAUGGGGCUCCGCUCACCGAUAUUCCUGGCUUGAGGUAAGUCAUAGAUUAACAUAUUUUAUCAGCACUUUUUUGUUGCAUUUUAACAGUCCAUUGAGUUCAUUCAGUUAGUUAUUGGUUGGUGUUUAUAGUUAUAAAGAUUUGUUCUAUAAUAUGUAUGCUAGAUAUAAGGUAUUUAUCUAUGGUUCAUUAGUUGUGAGAAAUACAAAUAAUUCAUUUCAUUUGUACUUCUUCACUCAACCUAGAGGAUUGCUCUUUACAGCAACCAUAUCGUAUUACAUAUUAUUAAACAUUGGCUGUUUCACUUCUUAUGCUUCGUGUUAAUAAAAUACUAAAUAUAAUUAUGAUGAGUUUAUAGUUUGAGAUCAAUGUAAGUACAUGUUUGGUACCACCACCGGCGCUUAGUAUUGACUGCAAAUGAACCAAUUGCAAAAUGUAAUACAUUUUCAUUUGUUCAAUAAAUCUUAAACUUGACACAAAUUCCUUAACCAAUGGCUAAAGUGAUAAAUGCACAGAAGUUCAAAGCGGGCUAGCUUGUGUGUAACCCCCAACUGGGCUAUUACCACUCGCAAUACAAACACGAUUUCCGAACAGAAAUAAGCAGAGGCAGUAAGGAAAAGUAAACUGUUAGUUGCAGUAAAGAAAGUUAGUAACAGCAGAUUAAUCAUUUGCGGAAAAUGUAUGUUAAACACAUUGUUGUAUAUGUUGGACAUAGCUCAUAGCAACUUUGUCCACAAUCCUAUUUCGUCACCUUCUUAAAUCAUCCACAAUGCUAUGUCAUAUAAUUACUAAAUCAUUAAAAUGGUCUAGACC